CCGUGGUGGGGGCUGGUGUCGCUGCCCUGCUCUCUCUCUGCUGCUGCCUGGCCUUCCUCAGGGUGAAGACCUGCAGGAAGGAAGCACCUUCCGCCCCGGGUCCCGUCUCCCAGGGUGACAGGCAGGAGCCACCCGGAGCCAUCCCCACCUCGGGGGAGGAGCGGGAGCUCCAUUACGCCUCCCUCAGCUUCCGUGGGCUGAGGCCCCGGGAGGCUCAGGACCAGGAGGCCACCAGUUUCAUCGAGUACUCAGAGAUCAAGAUCCACAAGUGACAACCUGCGACCUCCAAUAAAGCAAGGGCUUCUCUGGGGAGGGAGAUGUCAGGGGCAGUUCCUGAGUCACAGUUCUCCAUGCAAACAGGAGACCUAGUAGCCUAGGGGAGUCUCACUGGUGUGCUGAGGGCAGAACUGGGCUCAUAGUUCAGCCCCACCCCCGAUCAAGAGCCUGAGUGUGAGCAAGUGGCUGUAUGCCUCAGUUUCCCGCUCUGCAAUGGGACACAAUAAGCCUAAUUCACCGGGCUCUGGUGGGGCAGGAAGGAGAUGAGUAACAGAAAGCUUCCAACACAGGCGCGACUGCAGAGAGCGCCUCACCUGGUCACACCCCCUCCCAGAACAGCCCACUAGGUAUAAAAGUCUGACCAUGAGGCCCAAAUGGGGACCCUCUGCAGGGCAGUCCUGGCUUCAGAGCUCCCCCACGCUCCACUCUGCCUCUGCCCCAGCCCACAGGGGCUGGUCCCUGGGCGUGACCCCAGGGUCAUGUUGGUCCCUCACAAACACCCUGCUGCUAGUGUGUCUCCCCGGGAACCCAACCUGUGUCUUUUACCACACACACGCACACAAAUCAUUCACUGCUUACCUGAAAUAAAUUAUAAAUAUCUAAAUUA